AUGUCCCCCCUUGUACACGGCGGUUCCUGCGCGCUGUCCGUGCCCAACCGGCAGCGCUCGCGACGUUUUGUUAGCC
rnacentral:sRNA from 2 species